rnacentral:lncRNA from 1 species
AGUGCAGUCUAUAAUAUGGACCUAGUCUAAAUACGAAGGUCUCAGACUCUCAAACUUUAGUCCAAGACUAAAACCUUAAAAUUAGGUAUCCUCUUUACCAUUUUUCUUUGUUUCAAAUUGUUUGUCUCUUAUAAUACUAAUAAAACAUUUAUUAUUCUUUUCCACUAUCAUACCCUUAUUAAUUUCAUUUUUUUUAAUAAGCCAAACUAACCCAACGAAAUUGGCACCAGAGAGAAUUGAACCUAAGACCUUGAGAGGAGCACACUCCAAGGUCCCAAGCCAACAUCACCAGGACAACCCAAGUGGGUUCCCUUAUUUAAUGCAUUUCAAUCAUCUAACAACUCUAUUGAUAAGGGUGUUUUAGUAAAUAAAACAUUAUACCAUGAAAAUCAACACUACUAAUCAUUUCCUUAAUUCUCGUGUAAAACUAAGAACACCUAAUUUGAGACAGACAGAGUAAGAGACAAAUGAACAAGUAGAAACAAUUUAAAAACAUAAUACGUGACGGGUUGUGUUCAAUCUCCAAUCAAAAUAUAUCUAAAGGAAAGAAUUCUCCGCAAUCACGCAGUUAAGACAUCAGUGAACGUUCAAUUAAGAUCGGACAGUUUAGAUCCAAAUUUAGUAUUUUAUAUUAAAAUAUUAAAAUUAAAAUCUAAAUUUUCUAGAAUAUAUCCAACCUUGAUCAAAUUUCCAUUGAUAUUCCGAUCGUGUGAACACGGGAUCCAUCCAAAUUCAUCCCCAAUCCAUCUAAAACCCAAUUUACAUUCUCCCGUUGGGAUUUGACAACAAAAGCUGUAUAAUUGAAAAGGAAAAAAGUGUCCAAAUCAGACAAAAAAGCCAGAUAUAUUCAAGAGUUGUUGGCUAAAGCACAAACUUCUCCAAGCUAAAGCUGCUGUUUCAUCUACAAUGAUCAGUGGCUAUAAUGUCAAUUUCUGUUUCAGCCUCUAGAGAAUCAUUGGAAAGUAGUACGGAGAUAUUUUAGAAAUUUACAAGGCACUGAUAGUCAUGGUCUUGAUCUUAAACCUUCUGUUCCAAGCAAAAAUUAGCCAUAACAGCCUAUUGUGAUGCAGAUUGGGAAGCUAACCAAGAUGAUAUAAGGUCUUGGUUUCUUGGUGUUCUAAGAAACAACCUCAGAUGGCUAUAUCUAGUGCAGAGGCUAAAUCGAGUAGCCAGGCAGCAACAGCGGCAGAAAUUCUAUGGAUACACUCCCUAUUAAAUGAAUUGAAAGUGCCUUUUGACAUCCCUCAUAUCUUAUGCGACAGUCUCGGGACUGUAACAUUAGUACAAUCCUAUUUUAUAUGCUUGAACAAAACAUGUGGAGCUUGAUAUCUUUUUGUAAGAUAGAAAGUUCUUAACAAGAAUCUUGAGGCGUGACAUCCCUGCGGAAGACCAGCUGGCUGAUAUUUUAACCAAUGCUCUCUCUACUCAAAGAUUUCUCUUCCUCAGAGACCCUCGAUUUAUACUACUCCUUGGCUCACCUACUAUCACAUUUGAGGGGGAAGGCAAGUUUAGUUUUUAUUUAUCCUUUAUUGUGCAUUACUAGUUUGUUUUCCGUGUGUAAUUUGAUAGCAGGCCAGUUAUAAAUAUAGCAUGCAUUUGGAGGAAUGGAGGAAUAAGAAAGAAAUUGGCAGUUAUAAGUAUUCAUGUUAAUGUAUGUAACUGAAUCAUUGAAAUAUAAUGUCCAUUAGCGUGUGAAGAUUAGAAAGGAAAAAGAUAGAGAAAAACUGCAGGAACCGUAUAAGAUCUACGUUAGAGAAGAUGCCAGGAACUCUAAUUUAACUUGGGAGUUGUAAUUUUUUAUUUUGAAUGACAAAUGUUAGUAUGAUAAUUGUUAUGUUGAUACUUUUCUCCUUGCCAAGGCUAAAACCUUGGACCUUUAACUCCCCAACUCCUUUAAUCCCUUACCUUACCUUGACCAAUUGAGUUAUUGAAACUUCAGUAGUGCAUUGUGUACCAUAUAUUGUAAACUUGUUCAUACUCAUUUCCAACCUUUAUUACAAUUCUGUUUCACUUAAUAUGAUCAUUCUGAUUACAUUGCCACUGUAGUAAAGGCUGAAAAUAAGCAAGAACAAAUUUAUAGUAUUUGGAACACAAUGCACUGCUGAAUCUAGAAUGAAGAUUACAAGUCAAACUCAAGUUAUUAUCAAUAAAAUUUAGAGCUAUUAUUAAUUUCUCUCCUCCUUUUAUCUAAAGGGGCACAACUUCAACAGGUUGAUUUAAUUUCAGCUGCCUUAUAGUUCCCUAUCUAGACAAAAAAAAAAAAAAAAUCAGCACAAGGGCAUUGGAGCAGUCGUGUAUUUCCACUUAUCCAAUUUGAGUUAUAUUACUUGUAAAUGAUGUUAAACAAAAUUGUAGUCCCCCAAGAAAAUGAACAUUCACGUGUUUCAUAUUUGUGCAGAUAAAAUGAAUAUCUUAGUGGUAUGCUUAACAGGCAAAUGUAAUGAGGAUACCAGCAUGAAAGUAAGAAUUGAACCCAGUUUUGAUAAGUAUUUGUACAUGAGCAAAUUUUUAAAAAGGACAUUGAUCAACAUAUAUGGAUACUAAUACUACAUUAUAGUUUUAGUGGUUACCAAAUUGAUGAACCUGAUUGAUAAGAUUACCUGGGAAAGUGAACUAAACAGGACAGACAAGCGUAUAAAAGGGGCAAAAAUCUAACAAACUACCUCAAAUGCAGUGCAAUGUAAUGCUUCUUUCUCAUCCUCAUCCGUUGGACCAAUUGUUGACCCAUUUUUAGUAUUGGAUCGGUAAAUCUUAGAGCAUG